GGACCAAUGAUGACAUCCAUACGUGCGUUCCUUGGAAAGCUGAACAAAAUGAGUGGGAACUCCAUACUGUCGUUUUAGCUGAACUGAGGUCC